CCGCCUCUCCCCGCGCCCGCCCUCGCCGCGCACUCCUCCUAGUAACUUCUGUUCGGGGAGGCGCUGCCAGGAAUAACCCGGUGCGUCCACAGCCCGGGAGGGGAGGCGGCCGCUGCGGCUCCCGCACGCACACUGCUGCGGCCCGGGCCUCGCGGCUCCCUCGCGAGCCCGGCGGCCCCUGCCCCGGGCCCAUCGCCGUACAGUGUCAGAAAAAUAAAUAGAGGAAAGAGGAGCCUGGGCAGGCGGUCGGGAUCUCUUCCCUCCCUCCGCGCCCGCCCUCCCUCUGUCCUUAAGGAAAUGCUACCAGACACCCCCCACCAGACACGCUCAGCCUUGGCGAGGAGCGGCCGCCGCGGCAGCGAGAACAAGGGCACCAGGGGGGUUUCCUCCCCCUCCUCCUCUCCCCACUCUUCCUCCUCCUCCUCCUCCUCCUUCUCAGCGGUGACUUUCCAGGUAAUGAUGUGAAUGCUGCUUAAAUGAGGAUUGACUCUGAUAUUCCAUGGUUUCCUUCCUGGUGAGCUCGCUGGCUCGCCACCCUCCACACUCAUCAGCAGCUGGUGUUUCACCCAGUGGUACUGUGAUCUUCACCACCCGUUCACUUGCACAGAAAAAGAUGGCAUCGAUUUAUAUUUAAAAUAAAGUGGAGAAGCACAUUGCUCAGGCUUUCACUCAACUUGACACAGAGUGUGACUUUCAAAGUGUGGAUGAAAACAGCUUCCGCCCUUCUUGGACGACCUUCACACAGAUGUUUCUGACUUUUUUCCCCUCCUGUUUCUUCUAUUUGUCCUCUUUUUCCUUUCACCAUAGUGACUAGAAUUCUUCAUGUACCACAUCGGUUUUGUAAAAUAUGAUUCCUUGAGAGUACCUAC
rnacentral:lncRNA from 1 species